GCAAACUUGGUCAUUUAGAGGAAGUAAAAGUCGUAACAAGGUUUCCGUAGGUGAACCUGCGGAAGGAUCAUUACCGAGUGUAGGCCCUCCGUAAAAAAGGGGGCCAACCUCCCGUCCUUUUGCUUAGGGCCCCCCCUCUUUUAGGGGGUUGCUUUUCGGACCUUCUGCUUCGGCGGGGUAAUACCCGCCGGAAUAACCUCAAAAAUUCUUGUAUAACCGUUCCGUCCGAGGGGUUUGAAAAAAUAUAAAAUGCGAAAAACUUUCAACAACGGAUCUCUUGGUUCUGGCAUCGAUGAAGAACGCAGC
rnacentral:misc_RNA from 1 species